rnacentral:snRNA from 1 species
ACUCGCUUCGACUGUAUAUAUACUAAAAUUGGAACCAUAAUAAGAGAAUUAGGAUGGCCCUUGUGCAAAGACGACAUAUAAAAUUGUGAAGCGUUCCAUAUUUUU